GAGUCCAUAGCUCGGUGGUAGAGCAUGUGACUGCGGAUCAAGCGGUCACCGGUUCGAACCCGGUUGGGUUUU
rfam:Gossypium raimondii Chr04_contig_1379, whole genome shotgun sequence.